UGGAAAGGCACUCGGGAGCGAUUUCUGAACGGACCUGGGCGUGUCGGACCAGUGAGCAGCGGCGGCUGCGCCGCGGCAGCAGCAGAAAGCGCAGCUGCUUUGCUCUAGUCCACGCCCCCUUGCCGCUCCGGUGACAGUCUGCGGAAAGCCACGUUUGUGAUUUCGGGAGAGCGCAGAGCGGGACGACGGCGCUCUUGCUUGGUCAUCUGGGCCAGGUGACGAAGAAACAGUUUCCCGGUGAAGCAGCCCCUCACUCAUAGUCAGCGCACACCCCUAGGGCCUAAAGAUGCUGAGGUCCGUAUGGAAUUUUCUGAAACGCCACAAAAAGAAAUGCAUCUUCCUGGGCACGGUCCUUGGAGGAGUAUAUAUUCUGGGGAAAUAUGGGCAGAAGAAAAUCAGAGAAAUACAGGAAAGGGAGGCUGCAGAAUACAUUGCCCAAGCGCGACGACAAUAUCAUUUUGAAAGUAACCAGAGGACUUGCAAUAUGACAGUGCUGUCCAUGCUUCCAACACUGAGAGAGGCCUUAAUGCAGCAACUGAAUUCCGAGAGUCUCACAGCUCUGCUAAAAAACAGGCCUUCAAACAAGCUAGAAAUAUGGGAGGAUCUGAAGAUAAUAAGUUUCACAAGAAGUAUCGUGGCUGUAUACAGUACUUGUAUGCUGGUUGUUCUUUUGCGGGUCCAGUUAAACAUAAUUGGUGGAUAUAUUUACCUGGAUAAUGCAGCAGUUGGCAAAAAUGGCACUACAAUUCUUGCUCCCCCAGAUGUCCAACAGCAAUAUUUAUCAAGUAUUCAACACCUCCUUGGAGAUGGCCUGACAGAAUUGAUCACUGUCAUUAAACAAGCUGUGCAGAAGAUUUUAGGAAGUGUUUCUCUUAAACAUUCUUUGUCCCUUUUGGACUUGGAGCAAAAACUAAAAGAAAUCAGAAAUCUCGUUGAGCAGCAUAAGUCUUCUUCUUGGAUUAAUAAAGAUGGAUCCAAAUCUUUAUUAUGCCAUUAUAUGAUGCCAGAUGAAGAAACUCCAUUAGCAGUGCAGGCCUGUGGACUUUCUCCUCGAGACAUUACCACUAUUAAACUUCUCAAUGAAACUAGAGACAUGUUGGAAAGCCCAGAUUUUAGUACAGUUUUGAAUACCUGUUUAAACCGAGGUUUUAGUAGACUUCUAGACAAUAUGGCUGAGUUCUUUCGACCUACUGAACAGGACCUGCAACAUGGUAACUCUAUGAAUAGUCUUUCCAGUGUCAGCCUGCCUUUAGCUAAGAUAAUUCCAAUAGUAAACGGACAGAUCCAUUCAGUUUGCAGUGAAACACCUAGUCAUUUUGUUCAGGUAAGGAGAAAGCUUGGGAGUGUUAUUAAAAGCAAAUUGUAUUCAUGGGUGGUGGUCAUGUGUGUCUAAGAUAAACUUACAUUCUCUGCUGAGAUGUUUUUUCAAAAAAACACAGAACUUGGAACUACAUGUAGAGUGUGGUAGAGUGUCCCAUGAGAGUAAUAAUGGAUUAUAGCAAAUGUGUAAGUUUGGAGUAUCUUUCUCCGUGUUGUAGUCCAACACUGUGGGACUACAUUUUAGACCAGGUAUAUUAUAGUGGUCAGUUGAAUUUAUAUAGCAUGAAUGUUUUGCAUUAAGUUGUGCUAAUAAGAAGAUUGAGCCUUGAGGCAGAUCAAGGAUCCCAUUCUACACAUUUUGAGGAAAACUAAAAAAAUUUUUGGAGAAGUAAGUCAUUUUAGUGAUUAAUAAAAUGUAACUGUUAAUAGUGCAUCAAUAAUAUGCUCACUAAAAGUUCCAUAAACAGUGGGUCAUUUAAAUGUUUUAUCAGACUACUUAUAAGUCCGUCUUCUUUCUUCAUUUCCAUUUGGAAUGCAUUGAGUAAUUCACUAAUUCAUUGAGUCACACAGAUAUUAUAAACAAAAUAACUUUGAAUUUCUGAGUCAUGUGCAAACUUGAAAACUGUGUUAUAAGUUAAAAAAAUUGUUUGCAAUACCAAUUGCAAACUGCUUCAAUAAUGUACAAUGAGAAGAGACCCUAUGGCCUAAGAAUAAAGCUGACGUCUUCUUAGUGUAACUUGUUUCAGAUAGUUUAGUGUAUCCUCUCUGUAGACUUUUUACUCUUGAUAAUGUGGAGAGCACUGAGACUAAGAGUUUGUUUCCUCCUUUCACUGUGGUGUCAUCAGCCUGUCCUUCACAUGCACUGUUCUCUUUCUCACCCAUAAGAGCUGGGCACUCAUAUUGCAGAAGAAAUAGUGAAUAAGACUGAUCUCAUUUUACUGAAUUUUAAGCUUCACAUCUAUAUCAAUGUGAGAAAAAGGUCAUAACUUGGGGCAUUUAAACUUUACCUUUACCUUUGUCCUCUUCUGGAGAAGUCCCUGACUUGGCCAGUAGGCUGUUCAUUUUGACAGAUAAGUGGAAAUGACAGCCAAGCAUAAAGCAUCAUCAACCUUAAUGCUUAAAUUUUAUGCAGUACACUUUAAUUAAAAUUGAUAUAAUUGAUAAUAAAAACAAAUGUUUCAGUACAGUAAAAACACCAUUGAUACUAAUGUUUAGUAAAGUUUUUUAGUGUAACUGGAUGUAUAUUAAAUGUAUAUACUAGACCAUUGAUUGACAAGGCUAUAACAAUUAUAGUUUAAUUUUUUAGACUAUAAUUUAUGAGUUAAAAUACCAAGUGGUCUUCUGAACGUGUGCUCUACUAUUUCCACUUAUCUUUUUGUAAAGCCUUUCUUUGCCUUGAUUAGAAUGUUAAUUUACAUAAAAUUAAUCCUUUCAAAUUACUGCUAUUACUUCAACUACAAUGGUGUGUAGGAGAGCCUAUUGUGGGAAUGCUGUAGAACAGGGGUUGGCAAACUGUACAGGGCCAGAUAGUACAUACUUUAUGCAACAUACAUUCUCUACAGAAACUAUUCAUAUCUGCUCUAGCAGUGUGAAAGCAGUCAGAAACAUACAUGAACAAAAGAGUGUGGCUGUUUCAACACAACUUUAUAUACAAAAACAGGCAGCAGUGGAUUUGGCCCACAGGCUGUACUUUGCUGACCCCUGUGGUAGAAGAUACUAGGAUGGUAGUUCGUAAAGGCAGGGAAUGGGAGAAUCAGAAAACAAUCGAGAAAGGUGUUUUUUCAAAUUAUUUUCAAAUAGCUUUCAAAUAACAUAAGCAGGAGAUAAAUUAUUUCAGAUUGCUUUCAGAUUAACAUGAGGAAAGAGCUUUUAUAAUGUGAACCAACCCUGUGAUACAUAAUUUUUAUCUCAGACUACUGAAAACAUCCUGGAAGCUGCAUCAGGAUACAGUAUUUGAACAGAUUGAAGUCUUUAUUAUAAAGCUGAUAUAAACUAACUAUGACCUAUGAGCCAAAUCCAGCCAAGCACCAGCUUUUGAUCUGUUGACAAUGGAGCAAGUGAAAGACUUUGCUGCUAAUGUGUAUGAAGCUUUUAGUACCCCUCAGCAACUGGAGAAAUGAUUUUUCCUU